rnacentral:rRNA from 1 species
AUACGUAGGUGGCAAGCGUUGUCCGGAAUUAUUGGGCGUAAAGCGCAUGUAGGCGGUUUGGUAAGUCGGUCGUGAAAAUGCGGUGCUUAACGCCGUAUGGCGAUUGAAACUGCUGAACUUGAGUGCAGGAGAGGAAAGGGGAACUCCAGUGUAGCGGUGAAAUGCGUAGAUAUUGGGAAGAACACCGGUGGCGAAGGCGCCUUUCUGGACUGUGUCUGACGCUCAGAUGCGAAAGCCAGGGUAGCGAACGGGAUUAGAUACCCCGGUAGUCCUGGCCGUAAACGAUGGGUACUAGGUGUGGGAGGUAUCGACUCCUUCCGUGCCGGAGUUAACGCAAUAAGUACCCCGCCUGGGGAGUACGGCCGCAAGGCUUAAACUCAAAUGAAUUGACGGGG